rnacentral:lncRNA from 1 species
UUCGAACUCAAUCUUCGUCUUACUACCUCCAUCUUGGAUAAACUUUUUUUCCAAGAAGAUGACAUGAUGGCUCAUAAUCAUAUUAUAAUGCUUAAGAAGAUAGAAAUAGUAUCCCAUAAAUUUCUUAGGAUAUCCUAUAAAAUGAGACCUAAAAGAUCUAGCCUCUAACUUAUCCACUUGCUGUCACUUGAUAUGAGCC